rnacentral:misc_RNA from 1 species
GAUGAAGAACGUAGCGAAAUGCGAUAAGUAAUGUGAAUUGCAGAAUUCAGUGAAUCAUCGAAUCUUUGAACGCACCUUGCGCCCUUUGGCCAUUCCGAAGGGCAUGCCUGUUUGAGUAUCAUGAACACCUCAACUCUUCAUGGUUUUCCGUGAUGAGCUUGGACUAUGGGGGUCUUGCUGGCCUAUGGUCAGCUCCUCUAAAAUAAAUCAGCUUGCCAGUGUUUGGUGGGUAUCACAGGUGUGAUAACUAUCUACGCUUGUGGUUUUCCACCAGGUAACCUUCAGCAGUGGAGGUUCGCUGGAGCUCACAGAUGUGUCUCUCCUCAGUGAGGACAGCUCUUUGAAUGUUUGAUCUCAAAUCAGGUAGGACUACCCGCUGAACUUAAGCAUAUCAAUAAGCGGAGGA